rnacentral:rRNA from 1 species
CCUACGGGAGGCUGCAGUGAGGAAUAUUGGUCAAUGGGCUUACGCCUGAACCAGCCAAGUCGCGUGAGGGAAGACUGCCCUAUGGGUUGUAAACCUCUUUUGUCAGGGAGCAAUUGGCGCUACGUGUAGCGUUAUCGAGAGUACCUGAAGAAAAAGCAUCGGCUAACUCCGUGCCAGCAGCCGCGGUAAUACGGAGGAUGCGAGCGUUAUCCGGAUUUAUUGGGUUUAAAGGGUGCGUAGGCGGAAUGCCAAGUCAGCGGUAAAAUCGCGGGGCUCAACCUCGCUCCGCCGUUGAAACUGGCGGUCUUGAGUGGGCGAGAAGUAUGCGGAAGGCGUGGUGUAGCGGUGAAAUGCAUAGAUAUCACGCAGAACUCCGAUUGCGAAGGCAGCAUACCGGCGCCCAACUGACGCUGAAGCACGAAAGCGUGGGUAUCGAACAGGAUUAGAUACCCGGGUAGUC